AUGCUUCUCCUAAAGACUAAGCCAUGCAUGUCUCCGAAUAGAAGAGCAAUUCUCUCUGAAUCUGCGAACGGCUCCGCAAACCAGUUGUAAACCACAGCAAGCAUGCCUUGGGAUCGGCGCAAGCCGGUUCCUUGGCUAUAGGGAUAACCCUGGUAAUUCUGAGGCUAAUACAUGAACGUACCCCCUGGUCGACGGGCAACCGGAAGCUGGGGACCGUGCGAGUUGACGCGUAAGUUUUAUUGGGAAUAGUCGCACAGUACGACCACCAUACCAAACGGUAUCUGCUUCGCUGCCUCACGGCGGUUCGGUGGUGUCCGGGUGGCUCUUGCAAGGUGCUUCUGACCUAUCAACUAGAUGGCAGCUUAACGGACAUGCCAUGGUGACAACGGGUACAGAGGAUAAGGGUUCGAUCCUGGAGAGUGGGCCUGAGAGAUUGCUCACACUUCUAAGGAAGGCAGCAGGCGCGCAACGUUCCCCUUGGGCAAUGCUCGAGGGCGUUAGGGGACAUAUGAAUGCCUGCCUUAUGGUGGGCAAUUCAAAUGGGUCUGUUCUAAACAGCCUC
rnacentral:rRNA from 1 species